GACGAACGCUGGCGGCGUGCUUAACACAUGCAAGUCGAACGGAAAGGCCCUGCUUUUGUGGGGUGCUCGAGUGGCGAACGGGUGAGUAACACGUGAGUAACAUGCCCUUGACUUUGGGAUAACUCCAGGAAACUGGGGCUAAUACCGGAUAGGAGAUCCUGCUGCAUGGUGGGGGUUGGAAAGUUUCGGCGGUUGAGGUUGGACUCGCGGCUUAUCAGCUUGUUGGUGGGGUAGUGGCUUACCAAGGCUUUGACGGGUAGCCAGCCUGGGAGGGUGACCGGCCCCAGAGGCCCAGGGGUGCGAGCCGUACGGCAUCUUGCGGCAGGGGCGAGAACUUGACCGCACUGCGCGGCGUCCUGGAGGAGCAACGCCGGGUGCGGGAUCUCGGCCUUCGGGUAGGAAACAGUUUGUGCGUGAGUAGACGCGUGAGUACCGUAACUGGGUAAAGAGGCACCGCUAACUUCGUU
rnacentral:rRNA from 1 species